AGCUAGUUGACGAGUCCCAAAUAGGACGAAAUGCACAUUGUCCUGGAU
rfam:Trichobilharzia regenti genome assembly, scaffold: TRE_scaffold0035910